rnacentral:rRNA from 1 species
UACGUCGGGCGCAAGCGUUGUCCGGAAUUAUUGGGCGUAAAGAGCUCGUAGGCGGCUUGUCACGUCGGGUGUGAAAGCCCGGGGCUUAACCCCGGGUCUGCAUUCGAUACGGGCUAGCUAGAGUGUGGUAGGGGAGAUCGGAAUUCCUGGUGUAGCGGUGAAAUGCGCAGAUAUCAGGAGGAACACCGGUGGCGAAGGCGGAUCUCUGGGCCAUUACUGACGCUGAGGAGCGAAAGCGUGGGGAGCGAACAGG